rnacentral:tRNA from 1 species
UCCCCCGUGGCGCAAUUGGAUAGCGCGUUAGACUGUUAUUCCCUUUAUCAGUUCAUCUAAAGGUUGGUGGUUCGAGCCCACCCGGGGGAG